CAGGGAGACAACAAAAUGUAAAUAUUAAUUUUGUCACCUUAGGUCGAUCGGUAUCUCACAUUCUUAAUUUAUUAAGGAUUUUAUUUCCUAAGUUUUUUCUAGGUCACACCCAUUACUUUUCCUGGGCCAUUAGCUCAGGUGGUUAGAGCGCACCCCUGAUAAGGGUGAGGUCCCUGGUUCAAGUCCAGGAUGGCCCAUAUCUCUAUGUUGGGGGUAUAGCUCAGUUGGUAGAGCGCCUGCUUUGCAAGCAGGAUGUCAGCGGUUCGAGUCCGCUUACCUCCACUGAUUACCACCUCUUUCAUGAUUUUAUGAAGGGAAAAUGUUUUGAGUAGUGAUCAAUUCUGAAAGAAUCUAGCUUCCUAAUCAAAUUGAAUUAAGAUGCUGGACUCAUUGAAUUAAUUUCAUUGUUUUCAGAGGAACCUUGACAACUGCAUAGAUUAUUUUAAAGACAAUAAGCAUCUUUAAUGAUGCAGAUUUAUUAUUUGUGCGAAUGCAUUAAUAACAAUUCUAUUAAGCUGAUGCUUCAA
rnacentral:tRNA from 1 species